ensembl:lncRNA PMS2P3 PMS1 homolog 2, mismatch repair system component pseudogene 3
GCUGCCGCCGCACUGCCCUCGCUUCCUGAGGAGUGGCGGCAACUGGACCCUGAUGAGAAGAUAGCAUACGGGGAUGUGAUGUUGGAGAACUACAGCCAUCUAGUUUCUGUGGGGUAUGAUUAUCACCAAGCCAAACAUCAUCAUGGAGUGGAGGUGAAGGAAGUGGAGCAGGGAGAGGAGCCGUGGAUAAUGGAAGGUGAAUUUCCAUGUCAACAUAGUCCAGUACAGAACCUGCUAAGGCCAUCAAACCUAUUGAUCGGAAGUCAGUCCAUCAGAUUUGCUCUGGGCCAGUGGUACUGAGUCUAAGCACUGCAGUGAAGGAGUUAGUAGAAAACAGUCUGGAUGCUGGUGCCACUAAUAUUGAUCUAAAGCUUAAGGACUAUGGAGUGGAUCUCAUUGAAGUUUCAGACAAUGGAUGUGGGGUAGAAGAAGAAAACUUUGAAGGCUUAAUCUCUUUCAGCUCUGAAACAUCACACAUGUAAGAUUCAAGAGUUUGCCGACCUAACUGAAGUUGAAACUUUCGGUUUUCAGGGGGAAGCUCUGAGCUCACUGUGUGCACUGAGCGAUGUCACCAUUUCUACCUGCCACGCGUCGGUGAAGGUUGGGACUCGACUGGUGUUUGAUCACGAUGGGAAAAUCAUCCAGGAAACCCCCUACCCCCACCCCAGAGGGACCACAGUCAGCGUGAAGCAGUUAUUUUCUACGCUACCUGUGCGCCAUAAGGAAUUUCAAAGGAAUAUUAAGAAGACGUGCCUGCUUCCCCUUCGCCUUCUGCCGUGAUUGUCAGUUUCCUGAGGCCUCCCCAGCCAUGCUUCCUGUACAGCCUGCAGAACUGUGAGUCAAUUAAACCUCUUUUCUUCAUAAAUUA